rnacentral:lncRNA from 1 species
GCUGGCAUCAAUUUACUGCAGUGGUUUAGGUGACCACCAGCGUGGCCCGCGUGGGCCCUGUUUUUUGCCGCAUCUGCGCAAGAAAUGUUAUUGUUUUGAACGAAAAGCGAGCCGAGGGACAUGGGACGGAUUUUUUACGUGGCAUUGCGGAUCUGGAUGAAUAUACUGAAUUAAAAGGAAAA